rnacentral:rRNA from 1 species
CCUACGGGCGGCAGCAGUUGGGAAUCUUGCACAAUGGGGGAAACCCUGAUGCAGCGACGCCGCGUGGAGGAAGAAGGGUCUAGGCUCGUAAACUCCUUUUUCAGGGAAAGACUUAGGACGGUACCCUGAGAAUAAGCUCCGGCCAACUACGUGCCAGCAGCCGCGGUAAGACGUAGGGAGCGAGCGUUGUCCGGAUUUACUGGGCGUAAAGAGCACGUAGGCGGUCUGUUAAGUGAGAAGGGAAAUCUCCAGCGCUCAACCCGGAAACGGCGUUUCAUACUGGCAGACUUGAGGAAUGCAGAGGCAAGUAGAAUUCCUGGUGUACCGGUGACAUGGGUUGAGAUCAGGAGGAAUACCAAUGGCGAAGGCAGCUUGCUGGGCAUCAACUGACGCUGAGGUGCGAAAGCGUGGGGAGCAAACAGGAUUAGAUACCCCAGUAGUC